rnacentral:rRNA from 1 species
AUGAACGCUAGCUACAGGCUUAACACAUGCAAGUCGAGGGGCAGCAUGAACUUAGCUUGCUAAGUUUGAUGGCGACCGGCGCACGGGUGAGUAACACGUAUCCAACCUGCCGAUGACUCGGGGAUAGCCUUUCGAAAGAAAGAUUAAUACCCGAUGGCAUAGUUCUUCCGCAUGGUAGAACUAUUAAAGAAUUUCGGUCAUCGAUGGGGAUGCGUUCCAUUAGGUUGUUGGCGGGGUAACGGCCCACCAAGCCUUCGAUGGAUAGGGGUUCUGAGAGGAAGGUCCCCCACAUUGGAACUGAGACACGGUCCAAACUCCUACGGGAGGCAGCAGUGAGGAAUAUUGGUCAAUGGACGAGAGUCUGAACCAGCCAAGUAGCGUGAAGGAUGACUGCCCUAUGGGUUGUAAACUUCUUUUAUACGGGAAUAAAGUGAGGCACGUGUGCCUUUUUGUAUGUACCGUAUGAAUAAGGAUCGGCUAACUCCGUGCCAGCAGCCGCGGUAAUACGGAGGAUCCGAGCGUUAUCCGGAUUUAUUGGGUUUAAAGGGAGCGUAGGCGGACGCUUAAGUCAGUUGUGAAAGUUUGCGGCUCAACCGUAAAAUUGCAGUUGAUACUGGGUGUCUUGAGUACAGUAGAGGCAGGCGGAAUUCGUGGUGUAGCGGUGAAAUGCUUAGAUAUCACGAAGAACUCCGAUUGCGAAGGCAGCCUGCUGGACUGUAACUGACGCUGAUGCUCGAAAGUGUGGGUAUCAAACAGGAUUAGAUACCCUGGUAGUCCACACAGUAAACGAUGAAUACUCGCUGUUUGCGAUAUACAGUAAGCGGCCAAGCGAAAGCGUUAAGUAUUCCACCUGGGGAGUACGCCGGCAACGGUGAAACUCAAAGGAAUUGACGGGGGCCCGCACAAGCGGAGGAACAUGUGGUUUAAUUCGAUGAUACGCGAGGAACCUUACCCGGGCUUGAAUUGCAACUGAAUGAUGUGGAGACAUGUCAGCCGCAAGGCAGUUGUGAAGGUGCUGCAUGGUUGUCGUCAGCUCGUGCCGUGAGGUGUCGGCUUAAGUGCCAUAACGAGCGCAACCCUUAUCGAUAGUUACCAUCAGGUUAUGCUGGGGACUCUGUCGAGACUGCCGUCGUAAGAUGUGAGGAAGGUGGGGAUGACGUCAAAUCAUCAUGCCCCUUAUAUCCUGGGCUACACACGUAAUACAAUGGCGGUCAACAGAGGGAAGCAAAGCCGCGAGGCAGAGCAAACCCCCAAAAGCCGUCCCAGUUCGGAUUGCAGGCUGCAACUCGCCUGCAUGAAGUCGGAAUCGCUAGUAAUCGCGGAUCAGCAUGCCGCGGUGAAUACGUUCCCGGGCCUUGUACACACCGCCCGUCAAGCCAUGAAAGCCGGGGGUACCUGAAGUGCGUAACCGCAAGGAGCGCCCUAGGGUAAAACUGGUGAUUGGGGCU